GUCUUUAUAACUGGCUGUGUAAGAAUGAAGAAAAGCUGUCCAUCUUCUGAGAAGGAAGCAGCAUGUGCCAUCCUUCUGUCAGAAAACACCAAAGAGAUGAAGAAAUGAGAAAUCCAGAAACCAAAGACCUUGCUCUUUUGUCAAACAGACUUGGUAGAGCAGAGUUGCAAAAUCAGACCUUUGGGGGCUUGCGUGUUUCUCCUCUUACUCCCUGGUAAGCCCUGCCUUGAACUUCAGGCUGCCUGGCUUGGAUCCUGAUGCUGCUUUGCUGACACAAUCCAUUCUCCCAGGGAACACCCAGAGUUCCACUCCAGCCCUGGCAACGCUGCAGCAGAGUAGGCCAACUGUACGGAAAGUCUACAUUGGCUCGGAACAAUUGAGGCUGGGAGAGGCCUGCAGAGCCCUGUGGGUCUACACAACUUCCUGCUUCAAGACCAGACCUACAGCACGCCGAGUCAGCAUUAGCUCUUCCUGGAGUGGACUGGUGAUUUCCUGCUUGGUCGUCUUUUAAAACCCAGCCAUCUGAAUCCGAGAGUUGCUUCUUCAGCAAGGCCUCCCCUGACUCCUUCAGAUGUCUAAGCACCACCCCUACUCUUCUGCUGCAGCAUCUCCACUUGCUUUUGUCCUUCAUCUCCCUGAAAUUAUUUGCUUACUCAUCCAUCCAUGUCAGUUGCAAAAGCAUGACUUCCUCUAGUCCAAAGGCCAUUCAUGUUCAAUAUGUUAGCACUCGGAGCGUCUCCAGUGGUUGUUUCAAACAAGGCAAAUGAGUUCAGUUGAACUUUAUAUGUUCUGCCCUCCGACUGUGACUGUUAUUUACUUCCCUCCAAACAAAAUGUAAUAAUAAAAUGACUAACUGAACACUG
rnacentral:lncRNA from 1 species